AAUCAACGCUGGCGGCGUGCCUCAGACAUGCAAGUCGAACGAUUAAACUUUCCUUCGGGAAAGAUAUAAAGUGGCGCACGGGUGAGUAACACGUAAGUAAUCUACCUUUGAGUGGGGAAUAACGUUCGGAAACGGACGCUAAUACCGCAUAAUGCAGCGGCACCGCAAGGUGACAGUUGUUAAAGGAGCAAUUCGCUUAAAGAGGAGCUUGCGGCAGAUUAGCUUGUUGGAAGGUAACGGCUUACCAAGGCUACGAUCUGUAUCCGGUCUAAGAGGACGGUCGGACACACUGACACUGAAUAACGGGUCAGACUCCUACGGGAGGCAGCAGUCGGGAAUUUUGGGCGAAUGGGCGAAAGCCUGACCCAGCAACGCCGCGUGAAGGAUGAAGUAUUUCGGUAUGUAAACUUACGUAAAAUAGGGAAGAAUAAAUGACGGUACCAUUUGUAAGGUCCGGCUAACUACGUGCCAGC
rnacentral:rRNA from 1 species